rnacentral:lncRNA from 1 species
CGACUCUGACUUUAUAUCGACCAAAUGAACUAUUACACUGACUCACAAUCGGUUGACCGAUCGAGAGUCGGUUAUUAUCGACCAACAACAGAUGACUUAAUUAACCUCCGACCGAAGACUAUCAGCAUAUUAGAGUUACUAGCCGAUGGACAUUCGGAUCUUCUACCGACUUAUCAGUAUUAUCGACAUACAGUCGGCUU